UUUAUCAUUUUUAUAUAAUUUUAUCUUUGAUAGGUAGAAAUAAUUUUUAAAAAUUCAAAAAUAAUUUUUUGACAAUAAUUUUUUUCAAAUUAGUUUAUAUUUUAUCAAUUUGACGAUUUUGCUCUUGAAAUGGAGCAACAAUGUCUUCAAUUGUUUUGAUUUGGAACGAGAUUCAAAAUUUAGGAUCAAAUAUAUCACAAUUGAAAGGUUAGAGACCAAAGCGACACAAGCUUCAAACUAACCACUGGUGUAAUUCGCCCUAAUUAGAAAGCAAAAGUUAAAAAAAAGCAUCAUUUCUUUAGCUUCAGCUUCUAGAUAAUCAGUUUUUUUCAACUUAUUUAAGCUAUUUUUGCCUAAUAAGUUAUAAACAGAAGCUAUACCACACAGUUUGACAUAGAUUCCCAAAUUAAAAUAAACUAUAAUUAGCUUUCUUAACCUGCAACAAAGAGGUUGUACGUAUUUUCUUGAAUAAACAAAAAAAUAUACACAGGAAAAAAAAAAUGAUUAAUCAAUUUACAAUGUCCCUUUUUUUUAAGUGAGCAAGAUAUUUUUACAAGAUAAUGAAAAAACAUACAAAAUUCAAGAGGCAUAAUACAGCCUAUUAUUAUGUUUAAUUUCUUCCAUUGAUUAAGAUUUACUACAAGAACUCAGAUGUCAGAACUAGUUAUUAGAUAUGCUCCUAGCUAACAAAACAAUCAGAUAUGUUCCUAUCUAUCAAUUAGGAACAAAAACCAAUCACAUAUCUUAGAACUAACAAAACCAAAAUUGCUAUAUGUACAGCGUAUCCAAUCAACCUCAACAGUAAACCACAUCAGGUAACCAUAGUAAUAGUAUAACCUAGCCAAAACUAUAAAAUGCCGUAACUACACAGCAGAACCUUCAGCAAGUAGCAAAGAAAGCACCAUGAGCAAGACAUCAAAUGAAUAUAUAUAUAUAUUUACACCUUCAAAUCAUUGAUCCCGUCUCUCAUGAAUUGGUGAGCUGACCUAUGGGUCAUUGUUGCGACAAAGAUAAAAGUCCCAUGUCAUGCAAGACUGAAAAAGUAAAAUAAAGGAAGAUAAGCUUGGAUGUGAUAUACAUCAACAGGUACACAAGAAUCUUCAUUACAUUUUUUUGGGAGGUUUUCUAUGAUCACAUAUUCUGCUUUAUAACUUUGCUUGAAACUUUCUGAUGAUUACUAGCAUGCUUAACAGUCGUGAGGAAAUUUUAGGUGUCUCACAGAACUGGUGAGCAAAAAUCUAAUAAUUCAUGCAGGCUGCUCUUUUUUCUUUUUUACCAGGCUUGUGUGCAUGUUUAUUAGUUAAUGAGAGUAUGAAUCUUUUACUACAGGAAUACUUGUGUCCGGUUGAGCAUUAGUUAGCCUAUGAGAUGCUGGAGAGCAAUUGAAAUGUCAUAGUCUAUGUUUGGGACCCGCUCAAUCAUCUCAAAAAUCUGAGCAGCUGCAACAUUUGCAUCCAUAAAGUGCUUGACAUUUAUUAGACAACUCCCAAGAGCACUGCAUGGGAUUCCAACAAUGGCGAGUCUCCAACAGAGGUACAAAGCAGCCAUUUGAGCUGUGAUGAACAUUGCUAUGUUCAUCAUGAAGUUUGGAAUCUGUUACAAAUGUCGAUGCUACAUCAACUUAGUAAAGCUUCAAAUGAGAUUUUCUUGGGGUGGUACUUGGAAUACAACUUAGUCUCCUAGUUUGAGAGCCUACUUGAGAACAAUUUACUGACAAGCCAAAAGAAACACAUAUAAAGUGAUCUUUCAGAAGGGGAAAAGAAUUUGAAAAAGCUUCUUCCCAGAUUGUUGAUGCAAGGAAUCAGGAAAGGGAGCAUCCCAGAGAGACAACAUUAUUUAAGUGAGAGAAGUAGCAGCAGCAUAACCAUUCAUGAGGUUGGCUAGAACUAGCAUGAUUGCAGACAUGCAUGCUCCAUCCGCAACACAUCCAAUUGUUCCCAGUGCCAUCAACAACAUGUCCAACCCAUCUGAGUGCUUCAAAACUGGUUACAAGGAUUGGAUGCACAUUAUGUAAUCAACAUUUUUAAGGCCAAUAUUAUAUUAGUUUUUGCGAUUGGCGCCGCAAGGAGUGAAAAUCUAAACAAGAGAAGGCUGACAACGAUGUCAAAACUACUUGCAAGUCGAGUUCAAAUUUACAAGCGAUAAAUUCAAUGUAUGAAGAGAGAAAUACAGAAUAAAUGUAUCUAUUGA